rnacentral:rRNA from 1 species
AUGGAGGCGGACGGCGCCGCCGCCGCCGCGGCUACAAGGGGGAGGGAGGCAGAGAUCAUGGAGGCCCUCCGCGCCCGCGUCCCCUUCUUCAAGAAGCAGGCCGACUAUUUGACUCUUGAAGGUGUGAGGAGAACAUUGGAGAAGGACAUGGAUUUGAAGAUAAAUUCACUUGAUCCUCAUAAAAAGUUCAUUAGGCAAUGUGUAGACAAGGUGUUUUCUGGUUGUGACAAUGAGAAUACUGAUAAUGCAUCAGAGAGGGCUGAAGCUAAAGUGGAUAACUUAUCAGAAGAUGCCCAACCAAUGUCGGGCUCAAACAAAAUCUCCUCCAGUCCUGAUGAGCAGGGGGCAAGAUCCAGUGAAACCGAUAAAGACCCGGAGGGGUUGAAAAAUCACAGUUCUGGUAGUAAUAUCACCGAAGCUAUGAUAAAGAAAGCUAUUGACAAAAGGGCUUCCUAUUUUAGAGAGAACUCAGAAACUCUUACUCUACUAGGAGUUCGACGGACUUUAGAAGAAGACCUCAAACUUGAGAGGAAAGCUUUGGAUGCUUUUAAGGAUUUUAUUACCAAAGAGUUAGAUAGAGUUUUGCAAGAACCUGAAAAUGGAACAACGGAUCAUAGUAAACAGGAGGCUUGCAAGGAUGCUGGUCAGAAAACAAGUAAAGGCUCUAAAAGAGCUCGUCAAGACUCUGAUACCUCUGAACUAAAUAAUAGUCAUAGUGAGAAGGAAGACAGUGAUGAGGAUAUAAGGCCAAUAAAGAGGGGGGCUGAAAAAGGCAGAUCUCUAAAACAGCAGAAAAAAUUGUCAACUCUCAAGGUUGAAAAGGUUGCAAAAAGAGACUAUAAAAGUGAUAAAGAUCAAGGUCAAAAUUCUGCAGAAGAUAAUCCCCUUUCAUCUGCUGUGAAUGAUAAGAAGGCAGCUCCAGCCCAUGGCAAACGAGUAGAACGUCUUAAGUCAGUAAUAAAAUCUUGUGGAAUGAGUGUGCCACCUUCUGUGUAUCGGAGGGCAAAGCAGGCCCCGGAGAGCAAGCGUGAGGCUUGUUUGAUAAAGGAGUUGGAGGAUAUACUUGAAAAGGAAGGAUUGUCUUCACACCCUUCUGAGAAAGAAAUUAAAGCAGUGAGAAAAAGAAAGGAAAGAGCAAAGGAUCUUGAGGGCAUAGACAUGAGCAAUAUUAUCACGAGUUCUCGUAGGAGAAAUGCAUCUAGUUUUAUACCCCUGCCAGUGCCUAAAAUUGAAGCUGAUAGUGACAGCGAUGAUGAUGAUGGUGAAGAGGAGAAUGUGGAGGGUGGAGAUAAAGGUGACGACGUCGAUGCAGAAGCUGGAGAUGGAUCUGCUGAUGAUGCUGGAAACGGGAGCGAUUGA